rnacentral:lncRNA from 1 species
AACCGAGAGGUUGCCAAAAGUGAAUUUUCAAGUUUGCUUUUGUUUAAAGGUAAAACUAGGUUCAAUUUAUCAAUUCUGAUGAACUUUAAGCAAGGAAGCAAAAAUUUCAGCAAAACAAAAAUUAAAAUCGAAUUGAAGUAAUACUAAGAUGAUGAUAAACCUUCAAUAUAUGAGAUAAUAACAACCAACUGAAAAUACAUAUAAUAGUUCCAAAAGGUAAAUUCGGCUUUAUCGGACUUAAAGCUUUAGGUUUGGUUGUUUGGCAAAUAUGGUUGGUAAUGGUNGUAAUACUAAGAUGAUGAUAAACCUUCAAUAUAUGAGAUAAUAACAACCAACUGAAAAUACAUAUAAUAGUUCCAAAAGGUAAAUUCGGCUUUAUCGGACUUAAAGCUUUAGGUUUGGUUGUUUGACAAAUAUGGUUGGUAAUGGUAGAAGGCUAGAUUAAA